rnacentral:lncRNA from 12 species
ACUUAGCAGUGGGAGCCAGGCCUGAAGCUUCAGACGCAGAAACGCUGGACAAGCGGCUGCUGAGGUGCCUUUGGACAUAGGCCUAGGUUUUGAGCUCAGCUACUCUGCUU